CAGGGGGAUAACACCUGGAAACAGGUGCUAAGACCGCAUAAGCGCACGGUCCCGCAUGGGACAGUGUGAAAAACUCCGGUGGUACAAGAUGGAUCCGCGUCUGAUUAGCCAGUUGGCGGGGUAACGGCCCACCAAAGCGACGAUCAGUAGCCGGCCUGAGAGGGUGAACGGCCACAUUGGGACUGAGACACGGCCCAAACUCCUACGGGAGGCAGCAGUGGGGAAUAUUGCACAAUGGGGGAAACCCUGAUGCAGCAACGCCGCGUGAGUGAAGAAGUAAUUCGUUAUGUAAAGCUCUAUCAGCAGGGAAGAAAAUGACGGUACCUGAGUAAGCAGCCCCGGCUAACUACGUGCCAGCAGCCGCGGUAAUACGUAGGGGGCAAGCGUUAUCCGGAUUUACUGGGUGUAAAGGGAGCGUAGACGGUAAAGCAAGUCUGAAGUGAAAUGCCAGUGCUCAACACUGGAACUGCUUUGGAAACUGUUUGGCUGGAGUGCAGGAGAGGUAAGUGGAAUUCCUAGUGUAGCGGUGAAAUGCGUAGAUAUUAGGAGGAACACCAGUGGCGAAGGCGGCUUACUGGACUGUAACUGACGUUGAGGCACGAAAGCGUGGGGAGCAAACAGGAUUAGAUACCCUGGUAGUCCACGCGGUAAACGAUGAUUACUAGGUGUCGGGGGGUUAUAACCCUUCGGUGCCGCCG
rnacentral:rRNA from 1 species